GGCACUUUGGCGGAGUGGUUAACGCGAUGCCCUGCUAGUAUAUCCACUCUAUUCCAUCCGAAUAGCUAGGGUUCUAACGUGAGGCAUUUCCUUCGGGAGCGCAGGUUCGAAUCCUGCAGGUGUCG